UAGGGAAUUUUCGGCAAUGGGGGAAACCCUGACCGAGCAACGCCGCGUGAGUGAUGACGGCCUUCGGGUUGUAAAGCUCUGUUGUAAGGGAAGAACGGUAGAUAGAGAAUAUCUAAGUGACGGUACCUUACCAGAAAGCCACGGCUAACUACGUGCCAGCAGCCGCGGUAAUACGUAGGUGGCGAGCGUUAUCCGGAAUUAUUGGGCGUAAAGGGUGCGUAGGCGGCCUGUUAAGUAAGUGGUUAAAUUGUUGGGCUCAACCCAAUCCAGCCACUUAAACUGGCAGGCUAGAGUAUUGGAGAGGCAGGUGGAAUUCCAUGUGUAGCGGUAAAAUGCGUAGAUAUAUGGAGGAACACCAGUGGCGAAGGCGGCUUGCUAGCCAAAGACUGACGCUCAUGCACGAAAGCGUGGGGAGCAAAUAGG
rnacentral:rRNA from 1 species